rnacentral:rRNA from 1 species
UCGGAACACAGGUGCUGCAUGGCUGUCGUCAGCUCGUGUCGUGAGAUGUUGGGUUAAGUCCCGCAACGAGCGCAACCCUUAUCAUUAGUUGCUACGCAAGGGCACUCGUAAUGAGACUGCCGGUGACAAACCGGAGGAAGGUGGGGAUGACGUCAAGUCCUCAUGGCCCUUAUGGGUAGGGCUUCACACGUCAUACAAUGGUCGGUACAGAGGGUUGCCAAGCCGCGAGGCGGAGCCAAUCCCACAAAGCCGAUCGUAGUCCGGAUUGUUCUCUGCAACUCGAGAGCAUGAAGUCGGAAUCGCUAGUAAUCGCAGGUCAGCAUACUGCGGUGAAUACGUUCCCGGGUCUU